AGGGUUGCGGGGCACCGGCGGUGCCGGGGCCACAGGCUGUACCAUCGCCAGCUGCGGCAGGCAGCAAUGUAUUUAUUGGGGAAGUCCCAGGAACCAGUGGCACCGCUCAGAGCCAGCCG